rnacentral:rRNA from 1 species
GACGGAGGAUGCAAGCGUUAUCCGGAAUUAUUGGGCGUAAAGCGUCCGCAGGUGGACAUACAAGUCUGCUGUCAAAGUGCAGAGCUUAACUCUGUAAAGGCGGUGGAAACUGUAGGUCUUGAGUAUGGUAGGGGUAGAGGGAAUUCCCGGUGUAGCGGUGAAAUGCGUAGAUAUCGGGAAGAACACCAGUGGCGAAAGCGGCUUCCUGGACCAGAACUGACGAUCAGGCUCGAAAGCGUGGGGAGCAAACAGG